CUCUGCAGUAGCUCAGGUGGUUAGAGCACUGUACCGGAAUCGCAAGGCCACAGGUUCAAUUCCUGUGAGAGG